UACGAAGGGGGCUAGCGUUGCUCGGCAUUACUGGGCGUAAAGGGCGCGUAGGCGGGUAUCUAAGUCAGGGGUUAAAUCCCAGGGCUCAACCCUGGAACUGCCUUUGAUACUGGAUACCUAGAGUAUGGGAGAGGUGAGUGGAACUCCGAGUGUAGAGGUGAAAUUCGUAGAUAUUCGGAAGAACACCAGUGGCGAAGGCGACUCACUGGCCCAUUACUGACGCUGAGGCGCGAAAGCGUGGGGAGCAAACAGG
rnacentral:rRNA from 1 species